ACCCACCUGCACCGUCAGGCCUUCUGGAAAGAGAAGGAGAUCCGACUGACGGAGCGUCUCCAAACUUCCAAGCAAAUAUUACCUCGUUAAAGCCCAGUGCCACAUGACUGACCUGGAGCCACAGCCUGCCCUCCUUCCCUGGGCCUACAGGAAGGGGGAGGUUCCUGUCACCAGAACCGUUCCGUCAUCAGCCGGGCAGAUGCUCGCUGUGGAUUCUAGGUCCCGGUUCUGGCGGAUUUGGCCCAGGCACCCCCAGCCCCCAGAUCUGGCCGGGUGCGGCGGCUCAUGCCUGUAAUCCCAGCACUUUGGGAGGCCGAAGCAGGUGGAUCACAUGAAGUCAGAAGUUGGAGACUAGCCUGGCCAACAUGCCAGCCUCCAGCAUCGCCUCCUCUGGGAUCUUCUCUGACUUCCCAGUCGGUUUCAGAAGCCUCUGAUGACCCCAUGCGGAGAAGACUGCUCCCCUCACUGCUGGCACACGGCAGAUGCUCAGUAAGUAUCGUUCAAUGACUGACUAAAUGUCUCAUAAUAUCCUUCAUAAACAAGGGCCUGGUGUGGAUUCAUAAAUGGGUCUCUCAAAGUUUAAUUGGUGAGACUCUGUUGUAUCAGACAAUGAAGGGUUAAAAGAUAAUAUUCAAAAAAGUAAAAUCAUGACACACAAAUCUAGAAUGAACACACAUUGAUAAGGUUUGGAUCUGUGUCCUCACCCAAACCUCAUGUCGAACUGGGAUCCCCCGUGUCAGAGGCGGCCGCGUGGGAGGUGACCGGAUCGCGGGUGGACCCUUCAUGAAGGGUUCAGCACCAUCCCCUUGGUGCUGUCCUGGGACAGAGUUCUCUUGCGAUCUGGUUGUUUAAACGUGUGUGGCCCCUUCCCCCUCUCUUUUCCUCCUCCUCCUGCCGUGGGAGACACUUGCUCCAGCUUCGCCUUCCGCCGCGAGUUGAAGCUCCCCGAGGCCUCCUCAGAAGCAGAAGCCACCACGCUUCCUGUACAGCCUGUGGGACCCGGAGCCAGUUCAACCUCUUUUCUUUAUAAAUUACCCAGACUCGGCCGGGCACGGUGGCUCACGCCUGUAAUCCCAGCACUUUGUUGAGACCGAGGCAGGCAGAUCACGAGGUCAGGAGAUCGAGAACAUCCUGGCUAACACGGUGAAACCCCGUCUCUACUAAAAAUACAAAAAAUUAGCCGGGCGUGGUGGCGGGCGCCUGUGGUCCCAGCUACUCGGGAGGCUGAGGCAGGAGAAUGGUGUGAACCCGGGAGGCGGAGCUUGCAGUGAGCCGAGAUCCCGCCACUGCACUCCAGCCUGGGCAGCAGAGCGAGACUCCAUCUCAACAAAUAAUAAUAAUAAAAUAAAUAAAUAAAUAAAUAAAUAAAUAAAUAAAUUGCCCAGACUCAGGUAUUUCUGGAUAGCGAUGCGAGAAUGGACUAAUACACGUGUUAAGUCAAAAGUUUUAUUUAACUUAUUAAUUCAUGAGGGAAGCAGGAAGAUAUUAAAACUGGUUCAAAGGAAAAUCCACAGGUUUAGGCAAUCGAGCUGAAACGAACUUGCUAAUACAGUCGUCCCCCGUAUCCCCGACUUGAGUUGUCUGUGCUCAACUGCAGAAAACAGGUGAGUACAGCACAGUAAGAUACCUUGAGAGAGAGGGAGAUCCCACAUUCACAUAAUUUUUAUCACCAUAGAUUGUUGUAAUUGCUGUUUAUGAUUGGUGAUUGUUAAUCUCUUACUGUGCCUAUUUUACAAAUUAAACUUUAUCAAAGGGCUGUACAUAUAGGACAAAACAUAGUCUAUACAGGGUUCAACACUAUCCAAGGUUUCAGGCAUCCACUGGAGUGCUUGGAACGCAUCCCCCAAGUCAUCACCAAACCAGCCAAUAUCCACAGGGCCUGAAACCUCCCCUUUGGAUUCUCUCUUCCAUUGGUGGAAAUCAGCCGUGUCUCCACUGACAAGUGUCCUUGCACCUCCGUGGGCUCCUGUGUGUGGCCGUCACCUUUCUGGUGUGCAGGGAACUGUCUCACAGCUCCAUUAAAGAUGAGGAAGGCGCCGAUCACUGCAGCACCAGAGAACCCAGGGGUUCGCCUGGCCCCCCACUGAAAGGAUGCCCAGAAACCUCCUCACCCAUUUUAAUGUCUUUCCCACAUUUUCCUGAUGAAGACUCAGCACAGACGCUCACAGCAUCAUUGGGCACAACUGGGUCUGGUGGCAGAAGGCCCGGAGGGUGCACGGCCCCCUCCUGAGGCAGGUGUGCGGUGCUGGGGAAAGGCGGAGCACGAGGGCUGAGCUCUGGCCGUGGGACCCA
rnacentral:lncRNA from 1 species